ensembl:lncRNA
CUGGGAUAUAAAAAUGUGAACGCAAUUGGGGCACACUCUGACCUCAAAUAACCUAGGCAGUUAAACAAGUCACUGACCUGAACUCACGAACACCUCAGAUCUCAUAGAAUUCAAGCAGAAUGUGCAUGAGUUUCAAUGGAUACUUUUUAACCUUGAAGUCAGUUGUUUCAUAAUAAGUCAUACAAAUACUCUUACUGACUGUCAUGCAACUACAUAGGUAAGCAAAUUAUGCUUAUCUGUGCAAAUCUGGUUGUUGAUUUGCAUCGGUUAUAUGCACCACAAGCAGGAAAUGAAGUAGUAUUUUACUAGCUCCACACAAGUCAGCAAACAGGACUUGUGACAACUUUUAAGAGCCGUAUCGUCCAUAGAUUUUAAUUCUUCACACCCUGCUAGUCACUUCCAUCAGUCUCACACAUCCUAAAUUAAGAAUUGUUUUCUUGCUCUCGAGCUAGCAUUUUAUUUUUAAAAAGAGACCGAAGAACAAGCAAUCAAAGCAGUCUGCUUGGCUGAAGUUGCUGCAGCACAGCUGAUACAUGCCUGAAGUUUGGUGUCACUUUUCUCGAGGAGAUCUGUGAAAGAGUUGAACACAAAAGCAAUGCCUGUUCUGGCGCGUCGCUUUCACGCCAAGAGAAGUGUGAGGGAAGGUGAAGCGGAGGAGAAAUCACCUCCCUCCUUCUCCCGCUCCCUCUUCAGCGCAAGCGGGCCUGGCGGGGAGCGCCCGUGGCCGGCGGGGCAGCGGGGGUGGCUGAGGGACCCCUCUGGCCGGGCGCUGCCAGCGAGGGGCUGCCCCCGCCAGAAGGAAUAAGGGAGGCAACUCCCUGUAGACUUGGUUGAUGAGCUCCUGUCGCCCAGCGGAGCGGUCACACGCCGGAGCGCGGGGUGGAGAGAGAAAGGGCCGGGGCUAACAAAGCCAGACCGCCUCCCUGCCUCCAUUCCAGCGCGGCUCCCGGCCGCCCCCCGCGGGUUUCCCGCGGCCGCCAAGCGGGAACGAGCCCGGGGCGAGGCGCCCGGACCCGCGUAAGGGAAGGGGCCCGAUUUCUGCGGGGCAGACGGGCUGCAGAGGGCUGGUGGAGUCCGCCGGGCGGCGGGGGCAGCCGGGCGGGCGGAGGACGGAGCGGGGAUGCCCGCGGCCCUCUUGCCGCCGCCGGGCUGUGCGCGGGCGCCGCAGCCGCAGCCGUAGCCGUGCCUGCGGCAGGCGGCGGCCAUCGCGGGCUCGCCGCCCCCGUGCGCCCCUCGGAGGACGGAGGGGUGGGGGCAGAGGAGGCGGAGGAAGCGGCGGCGGCGGCGCCAGGAACAGGGAGGCGGCGGCACGGCGAGGGAGGGAGCCAGAGCCGAAGCCGGGCCGGGCCCCGCGAAAGCAACAGCAGAGCCAGCUCCUCCUUCUCCUCCUCUUCGUCCACCAAGUUUGGAAGAUUUCUUGAAAGAUUCUUAGACUCCUUCAGCUUGCCAUGCUUAGCCUGGAGCCAGGCUUGCUGCUGCAGGUUGUGCUGCUAACAUCGCACGUAUUUGGAGGAAAUGGCUCUUGAAGUUAAAUGAGGCAGGAUAAAACACAUAAAUGAAGCAGAAGCUGCUCUUCGUGUGUUAGGGCUACAUCACCGCAAGUACUGCUGAUCAGCC